AGUGAACGCUGGCGGUAGGCCUAACACAUGCAAGUCGAACGGCAGCACAGUAAGAGCUUGCUCUUACGGGUGGCGAGUGGCGGACGGGUGAGGAAUACAUCGGAAUCUACUUUUUCGUGGGGGAUAACGUAGGGAAACUUACGCUAAUACCGCAUACGACCUACGGGUGAAAGCAGGGGAUCUUCGGACCUUGCGCGAUUGAAUGAGCCGAUGUCGGAUUAGCUAGUUGGCGGGGUAAAGGCCCACCACGGCGACGAUCCGUAGCUGGUCUGAGAGGAUGAGCAGCCACACUGGAACUGAGACACGGCCCAGACUCCUACGGGAGGCAGCAGUGGGGAAUAUUGGACAAUGGGCGCAAGCCUGAUCCAGCCAUACCGCGUGGGUGAAGAAGGCCUUCGGGUUGUAAAGCACUUUUGUUGGGAAAGAAAAGCAGCAGGUUAAUACCCCGCUGUUCUGACGGUACCCAAAGAAUAAGCACCGGCUAACUUCGUG
rnacentral:rRNA from 1 species